GGGCUCGUCGUCUAAUGGACUCAGGACAGAAAUCUUCUAAAUUUCCAAUGUAGGUUCGAUUCCUACCGAGCUCA
rnacentral:tRNA from 1 species